GAUGAACGCUGGCGGCGUGCCUAAUACAUGCAAGUCGAGCGAACAGACGAGGAGCUUGCUCCUCUGACGUUAGCGGCGGACGGGUGAGUAACACGUGGAUAACCUACCUAUAAGACUGGGAUAACUUCGGGAAACCGGAGCUAAUACCGGAUAAUAUAUUGAACCGCAUGGUUCAAUAGUGAAAGACGGUUUUGCUGUCACUUAUAGAUGGAUCCGCGCCGCAUUAGCUAGUUGGUAAGGUAACGGCUUACCAAGGCAACGAUGCGUAGCCGACCUGAGAGGGUGAUCGGCCACACUGGAACUGAGACACGGUCCAGACUCCUACGGGAGGCAGCAGUAGGGAAUCUUCCGCCAAGGGCGAAAGCCUGACGGAGCAACGCCGCGUGAGUGAUGAAGGUCUUCGGAUCGUAAAACUCUGUUAUUAGGGAAGAACAAAUGUGUAAGUAACUAUGCACGUCUUGACGGUACCUAAUCAGAAAGCCACGGCUAACUACGUG
rnacentral:rRNA from 1 species